CUUUCCAUUGAUGUAAGUGGGUUGUUACAGGCCCCUACUAUUGUAUGACUAUCGGUUACUUUUUUUAAUGUGUUAUUGUUUUAUGUAUUGGGGUGCCCUCAUGUUGGGUGCACAGAAAGAUUUACGAUUGUUACAUCUUCUUGUUGAAUCGUCCCCUGAAUAUCUAACGUCCUUCUUUGCCUCUUGUUACAGCCUGUUCCCAAGUCUAUUUUGUCCAAUGUAAGUAUUGCUACCCUGACUUUCUUUUCACGUCCAUUUGCAGGAUAAAUGCUUCUCCAUCCCGUCACUUUGAAUCUGCACACAUCUUCAGAUCUGAAAUGAGUCUCCUGGAGGAAGCAUACAGAUGGGUCUUGUUUUCUUAUCCAUUCCAUCACCCUAUGCCUUUUGAUUGGAAGCUUUAGUCCAUUUAGAUGCAAAGAAUUAUUGACAGUGUUCUCCAGCUCACAGAGGGACCAGGAGGAAAAGGCCACAAAUGCACAGCUGUCCUGACUGCUUGUGGGUCAGUGUUCUGUCACUGCCUUCUGAAACUCACCAUACCCCACUUACUCGCCUGAGUGGACCCUCUGCUCCGGCCAAAGCAGGCACACUCGGGGAUUCACCCAACCCCAGUCAUGGCUCUCGGAAGAAACACGACUGAAUGGAUUGGAAGAUGGAUGGGUAAGUGCACUGCACAAAUUGCACGGAUUUGAUAAGCUAAGGCUACAGCAAAGCUCCUGGAGGUAAUUACCAAGAGAGACCUGUGUACCACAGUCACGGACCUGUGUAAUGUGACAGGCAAAGGCCUUGCUCACAUUCGAGACCGUUCUAUGAAACUCUGUGUUUCAUUUGAUCACAAGCUGGCACGUAAUUUGGAAACAUGACCAAAUACAGUCUUCGACACGCCUUUCUGUCCUUUCUCCUUGUUUCCCUCCAUCUAAACCGGCAGGCAGGGGUGGGGAGAAGGAAAUGAACAGA